GAUGAACGCUAGCGGCAGGCUUAACACAUGCAAGUCGAGGGGUAACAGGGAAGAGCUUGCUUUUCCGCUGACGACCGGCGCACGGGUGCGUAACGCGUAUGCAACCUACCUCUUACUGGGAGAUAGCCCGGAGAAAUCCGGAUUAAUACCCCAUAGUAUUUUCUGAUUGCAUGAUUAGAAAAUUAAAGGUUACGGUAAGAGAUGGGCAUGCGUCCCAUUAGCUAGAUGGUAAGGUAACGGCUUACCAUGGCAACGAUGGGUAGGGGGCCUGAGAGGGUGAUCCCCCACACUGGUACUGAGACACGGACCAG
rnacentral:rRNA from 1 species